UACGGGGGGGGCAAGCGUUGUUCGGAAUUACUGGGCGUAAAGGGCCAGUAGGCGGCCAACUAAGUCCGACGUGAAAUCCCAAGGCUUAACCUUGGAACUGCGUCGGAUACUGGAUGGCUUGAAUUCGGGAGAGGGAUGCAGAAUUCCAGGUGUAGCGGUGAAAUGCGUAGAUAUCUGGAGGAAUACCGGUGGCGAAGGCGGCAUCCUGGACCGGCAUUGACGCUGAGGAGCGAAAGCCAGGGGAGCAAACGGG
rnacentral:rRNA from 1 species